rnacentral:ncRNA from 2 species
AAGUGUUCAUAUUUUGUUGGUUGCCUUGGCAAACGGAACACGGUGAAACUCCGUGACGGUCCCGCCGCUGUAACCGGAAACAUCUGUUUUUUUUUGUAAAGGCCACUGUGAAAACGGGAAGGCUAAAAAAACAGGUUUAAUGCCGGAAGUCAGAAGACGAGCCAGGUAAAAAUCAUUGUA